GUUCGCCAGAAAACUACACGCACGCGCGUCAAACCCAAAGGACUUGACGGUGUUCCACACCAACCUAGAGGAGCCUGUCCAAUAAUCGAUACUCCACGCUGGACCUUACCCCCCCUUGCAACCAGCCUAUAUACCGCCGUCGCCAGUUUGCCUAGUGAUAGUAAUUAGCUAACACAACUAACCCAACCUAAAAACGUCAGGUCAAGGUGUAGCUAAUGGAGGGGCUGAGAUGGGUUACAUUUCCCCACAGAGGAAAUAACCACAAGCAACAUGAAACAUGUGCUACAAGGCGGAUUUAGCAGUAAGACUGGCAAGCUCAAGCUAGACUGAA
rnacentral:rRNA from 1 species